rnacentral:tRNA from 1 species
GUGCCCAUAGCUCAGAUGGUAGAGCAGCUGACUUUUAAUCAGCGGGUCCCAGGUUCGAGUCCUGGUGGGCACA